CCAAAUCCUUCAGUACAUGAAAGAAAAUCAUCUUGUCCUCCGGUACCCCAUAUUUCUAUUAGCUCUUGAAACUUUGAAAGCUGCUGGUGAGAGAGAUGCCCUCCUCAGGCAAGUUCAUCCUCAUAUCUCUGUUGAAUGCAUUGACAAUGAAAGAGUAGUUGAGUAUAAAAGAAAUGAUUUUGAAGAUCCUUCAAGUUUAGACAGAGGACUAGUGUGGGUUCUUUUGAAAAAGCUAAAUCUUCAAGCUGUUGACAGUUUACUUACUGAAUUGAUGGAUAAGAAUAUAAAGUUGGACUCUGAGCUGAUGUCCUCCAUCGUACAUGUAAAUUGUGGUCACUGUAGGGUGGGUGGUGC
rnacentral:lncRNA from 1 species